rnacentral:rRNA from 1 species
CCUACGGGCGGCAGCAGUAGGGAAUAUUGCUCAAUGGUGGAAACCCUGAAGCAGCAACGCCGCGUGGAGGAUGAAGGUUUUCGGAUUGUAAACUCCUUUUGUUAGAGAAGAUAAUGACGGUAUCUAACGAAUAAGCACCGGCUAACUCCGUGCCAGCAGCCGCGGCAAUACGGAGGGUGCAAGCGUUACUCGGAAUCACUGGGCGUAAAGCGCGCGUAGGCGGGAUAGCAAGUCAGAUGUGAAAGCCUAUGGCUUAACCAUAGAACUGCAUUUGAAACUGUUAUUCUAGAGUAUGGGAGAGGUAGGUGGAAUGCUUGGUGUAGGGGUAAAAUCCGUAGAGAUCAAGAGGAAUACUCAUUGCGAAGGCGACCUGCUAGAACAUAACUGACGCUGAGGCGCGAAAGCGUGGGGAGCAAACAGGAUUAGAUACCCUAGUAGUC